UUACUUGUUAAUCUUGUCUUUGAUCUUGACCAAUUGACCGUUUGAUCUUGUGGAAAUGUUCUAGAAAAUUCUUCUUUCAAAGGUGGAUAUAAGUUCUUUUUGUAAGCCGAUAUUAACGACUCUUUCACUGAGUUUUGUUCUUCUAGCCGAUCAAGUUUCCCAUUUAUUUCGCCUUGCUCAUAUUGAUUUGUAUCCGAAGUAAUUCCUGCAAAAUAUACCAUAUAUCUAUUAAAAUAUAUAGUCAAAAGUAACAUAGAACAAGUAUUUUUCAAAAAAAAAAAACAUAUAACAAGUAUCUGUCAAAAACAUGAUAUAAACACAUGAUUUAUCCCACUAUUACCAAACUUUUAUUUCUCUCUUCUCAGAAAUUUAAAUUAAAAAGGACAGAGCUUGUAAUAAAUAGCCAAAGAAGGGGAUUAAAACUAUCUUUUGUUGCAUAUCUCAUGAUGCGGGGGCAAAAAUUAAAGAGAAAAAAGUUUUUAACUUUACACCCGAAUUUAGCUUUUUAUUUUUAAAAUAAAACUGAAAAAUAAUAUUCAAGUUCGAAUAUGUUAUGUACCGUUAGCAAGAUCAAGCACGAAGUCAGCCGGGUUAACGAAGCUGGAUCCGGGUUGAAACCCAAUUGAACCAAAAUACUCCAUGACCCGACCCGAAUCCCCACUAUAAAUCGGACUUCCAUCCGACAAAACCAACACUUUAUCGAACAUCCGAUAAAGCCUACUCGACGGCUGAUGAAUGGUUACUGAAUAUAUUAUCCAUCAUUUUAUAGUUAAGCAAAAAUAGCUAUUCCUCAUUUUUUAUAUGAAAAUAGAAAGAAUAGCAGCAUCAUUUUAAAAUCAUGAUGAUCACGUAAACUCAAAAUAUCAAAACAUAUAAUUUUGCAUUUCAUGUUUGUAUUUGUAAUUUGAAAAGGAGAUUUGUGGGUAAACAAGUUAUGUCAACUACUUAAAAUAUAUAUAUUUAUAUAUACAUGAGAAAAGGAGAAUCGAAAUUUUAAUAUCACGACCGGGAGCUUAUGGUCAAGUGGUAAGGAGAAGGGCUUGAGAUGUCACCACAUUUUAGGUUCGAUCCACCUGCCAUGCGAAACUAAGUCAUAUUUUCCUAGUCACCCUAUACGGAUAUGGGCUACUGCAUUUCGGCUCAUUUGAAUACCCGACAAAAAGUCUAUCUGUGGGCUGCACUUCCCACCCGGGGUUAGGUCUUUGUCUUUAAUAGAUCCGGGUUUAACCCUUUUUUGUUCAAAUUUUUUUUUUAAUAUCACUACUGUCUACUAUUUUUACCUGAUCUUGUAUAUGAGCAACGCGAGAAUGCCACCAUAAGAGGCCAGAAAGUAAAGAAACCGACAUGACCAUAAAUAUUCUAAGUCCAGAAAAUGAUUCAUGACUUCUCUCCUUUAAUCCUCGCUUUAGUAAAACUGAGAAUUGCAUCCACCAACUCGUUGGCCAUCGAUCUAUAUGUGAACCCAAAGUUGACACAUCGUUACUACAACUGUAAGUCUGUAACCAACAAAAAAGUAUUGAAGUGCUAUGCUAUAAAACGUUAAUGACCUUACUUGUUAAUCUUGUCUUUGAUCUUGACCAAUUGACCGUUUGAUCUUGUGGAAAUGUUCUAGAAAAUUCUUCUUUCAAAGGUGGAUAUAAGUUCUUUUUGUAAGCCGAUAUUAACGACUCUUUCACUGAGUUUUGUUCUUCUAGCCGAUCAAGUUUCCCAUUUAUUUCGCCUUGCUCAUAUUGAUUUGUAUCCGAAGUAAUUC
rnacentral:lncRNA from 1 species